rnacentral:rRNA from 1 species
GACGAACGCUGGCGGCGUGCUUAACACAUGCAAGUCGAACGGUGAAGGAGAGCUUGCUCUCCGGAUCAGUGGCGAACGGGUGAGUAACACGUGGGCAACCUGCCCCAGACUUCGGGAUAACGCUUCGAAAGAGGUGCUAAUACCGGAUACGAACUCCUUGGGCAUCCUUGGAGUUGGAAAGUUUUUCGGUCUGGGAUGGGCCCGCGGCCUAUCAGCUUGUUGGUGAGGUAACGGCUCACCAAGGCGACGACGGGUAGCCGGCCUGAGAGGGCGACCGGCCACACUGGGACGGAGACACGGCCCAGACUCCUACGGGAGGCAGCAGUGGGGGAUAUUGCGCAAUGGGCGAAAGCCUGACGCAGCAACGCCGCGUGAGGGAUGACGGCCUUCGGGUUGUAAACCUCUUUCAGCAGGGAAGAAGCGAAAGUGACGGUACCUGCAGAAGAAGCACCGGCUAACUACGUGCCAGCCGCCGCCGUAACAC